CCGAUGCAGGAAUGAUCUAUAGUGAUCCAAAAUAUUGGCAUCUUCUGGUGUCCUUCACGCAUUUGCAAUGACCAGUUCUUCAUGACCAAAUUAAAGCAGGAGUGCCUGGAAACACAGAUAAGCCGCUCCAAUGUCUGAAGAGGAGAUCAAAGGAGACUCUCACUGACCCCCAGGAGCAGCAAGCAGCCGGGCAAAGCCUUAAACAUGGAUUUCCCAGGCACUCACCCCAGUGAUGGAGCUCUCCAAUAAGCGUGUUUCCAGCACAUGACUUAAUAAUGAACCAGGCUUCUGUGUUUGGAGAUCUUGGUUGACGUUGAUACCCGACGAUGUAAGCCACUUGCUUUUUUUCUCACCAUUCUUUAAAUCUCUGCUCUUUGAACAGUGAGCCUAGAAAACCCUGGGUGCCCCCUGACCCCUGCCCUCAAAAGGAGCACAAGCCCAGGGCCAUGUGCACGCUCUCCUUCUACCUGUGACCUCACUGUGUGGCCCCAGGUGUGUUCUGUAAU